UCUCCCAGGUGUGGCCGCUAGAGCCCGACUCGGUCAGGACAAGCAUCUGCCCCUUUAGGGAAGACCCCCGGGCACACCGGAACCUCUGGCGUGUGGCCCGGCUGCAGCUGCUGCCCCCGAGGGGCUGGAGGCUAGAUGCGCCCUGCUCACUGCCUGCUGAGGCCACUCUGUGCUGGCAGGCACCAGGCGGGGGUCCCUGCCAGUCGCUGGUCCCCCUGCUGCCACCAGCAAAUGUCACUAUCAACAAGGCAGUUGAGUUGCCGUUGCUGAAUGCCCACCCCAACCUCUGUGUCCAGGUGAGAGGGGGGCACAAGAGCUCUGGGCUAGGGGCAGGAUCCAGGGUGGACCUUCCCAGAUAAGUCACUGUCUUCUGGAUCCACUUUAUCCUUAAGUCACUGGAGCAAAGUUGCU